rnacentral:rRNA from 1 species
GACGAACGCUGGCGGCGUGCCUAAUACAUGCAAGUCGAACGAGAGCAACCGGUGCUUGCACUGGUCAAUCUAGUGGCGAACGGGUGAGUAACACGUGGGUAACCUGCCCAUCAGAGGGGGAUAACAUCCGGAAACGGAUGCUAAAACCGCAUAGGUCUUCGAACCGCAUGGUUUGAAGAGGAAAAGAGGCGCACGCUUCUGCUGAUGGAUGGACCCGCGGUGCAUUAGCUAGUUGGUGAGGUAACGGCUCACCAAGGCCGUGAUGCAUAGCCGACCUGAGAGGGUGAUCGGCCACAUUGGGACUGAGACACGGCCCAAACUCCUACGGGAGGCAGCAGUAGGGAAUCUUCCGCAAUGGACGCAAGUCUGACGGAGCAACGCCGCGUGAGUGAAGAAGGUUUUCGGAUCGUAAAACUCUGUUGUUAGAGAAGAACAAGUGCUAGAGUAACUGUUAGCGCCUUGACGGUAUCUAACCAGAAAGCCACGGCUAACUACGUG